rnacentral:tRNA from 1 species
GCGACAUUGGUGUAGCGGUUUACACGGUGUGCACACGUGAUCUCCAAGGACGUUCGCAUAUUUACACAGCCCCAGGUUCGAGUCCUGGAUGUCGCA